rnacentral:lncRNA from 1 species
AGCAACCUACCAAACCACAUUCAAAACAAAAAAUCCCCAUUAAAGUCCCUAAACUUAACCAUUUUCAAAUGACUAAGUAUCAAACCAAAAUCAUAUUCAAAAUAAAAAAUCAUCUUUAAAGUCCCUACACUUAACCAUUUUCAAGCGACUAAGUAUCAUAUUAAAACAACAUUCAAAACACAAAAUCCUCUUUAAAGUCCCUACACUUAACCAUUUUCAAGUAACUAAGUCAC